rnacentral:rRNA from 1 species
GGAAUAUUGGUCAAUGGGCGCUAGCCUGAACCAGCCAAGUAGCGUGAAGGAUGACUGCCCUAUGGGUUGUAAACUUCUUUUAUAUGGGAAUAAAGUGCAGUAUGUAUACUGCUUUGCAUGUACCUUAUGAAUAAGGAUCGGCUAACUCCGUGCCAGCAGCCGCGGUAAUACGGAGGAUCCGAGCGUUAUCCGGAUUCAUUGGGUUUAAAGGGUGCGUAGGCGGGAUGCCAAGUCAGCGGUCAAAUACGGGGGCUCAACCUGCGUCCGCCGUUGAAACUGGCGUUCUUGAGUGGGCGAGAAGUACGCGGAAUGCGUGGUGUAGCGGUGAAAUGCAUAGAUAUCACGCAGAACCCCGAUUGCGAAGGCAGCGUACCGGCGCCCUACUGACGCUGAAGCACGAAAGCGUGGGUAUCGAACAG